UGUGAUUAUUUCCUGUGGUUCUUGUCUUCAGCUACAUGUCUAUAAUGGCAGCAAAGAUCAUUCAGAAAUGUGAUUGUUGGAAGUCAGUACAGGAGCAUCAACACAGCUCAACAGUGAUACCUUGGUCCAUAAAUCAGUGACAACUGAAAACGUCAUCUCAGCCAGUCAUUCAUGGAUUAUUGUCAUAGGAUACGUCUGUGUGGUCUUCCUGGAACAAACAUGUGCAGAUAUUUAUCUAAAGAAGCAAAGGCUUAACAGCGGGCUUAUUUUCAAAUAUAGUAAAUGGUAUUCAACUCCAUUGAAGUCAAUGGAACCACGCACAGAUAAAACCAAUAGAAGAAAAUUAAACCUUUCAAAGAAAACCUACUGCAUUUCUUUUGAGAAGCUGAAAUGGGGCUGCGAUGGGACAUUAUAUGGUUGUGCUGUCUACAAGCCUAUCUUCUCAGUGAACACACUGGAGAAGCAGUUUGUUACUCAGAAGGUUUAGGCACUCCACCUACAGCAAAAGUUCUGGACACUUCACAGAAAAGAAAUGGUACACACUACGACCCAAGGACCUGGCUGUGAAAUUAGAUUUCU